rfam:Oryza barthii chromosome 4, whole genome shotgun sequence.
AAAAAGGCAAACCCUGGGUUUCCGUGCCAACGUUUGACUGUCCGUUUUAUAUGAUUUUUUUUUAUAAUUAGUAUUUUCAUUGUUGUUAGAUGAUAAAACAUGAUUAAUACUUUAUGUGUGACUUAUCUUUUUAAUUUUUUUAUAAUUUUUUCAAAUAAGACGGACGGUCAAACAUUGGACACGAAGACCAGGGUUUGUCUUUUU